rnacentral:rRNA from 1 species
CACAUGCAAGUCGAGCGGAUGAAGGGAGCUUGCUCCUGGAUUCAGCGGCGGACGGGUGAGUAAUGCCUAGGAAUCUGCCUGGUAGUGGGGGAUAACGUCCGGAAACGGGCGCUAAUACCGCAUACGUCCUGAGGGAGAAAGUGGGGGAUCUUCGGACCUCACGCUAUCAGAUGAGCCUAGGUCGGAUUAGCUAGUUGGUGGGGUAAAGGCCUACCAAGGCGACGAUCCGUAACUGGUCUGAGAGGAUGAUCAGUCACACUGGAACUGAGACACGGUCCAGACUCCUACGGGAGGCAGCAGUGGGGAAUAUUGGACAAUGGGCGAAAGCCUGAUCCAGCCAUGCCGCGUGUGUGAAGAAGGUCUUCGGAUUGUAAAGCACUUUAAGUUGGAAGGAAGGGCAGUAAGUUAAUACCUUGCUGUUUUGACGUUACCAACAGAAUAAGCACCGGCUAACUUCGUGCCAGCAGCCGCGGUAAUACGAAGGGUGCAAGCGUUAAUCGGAAUUACUGGGCGU